GGAAUCGCUAGUAAUCGUGGAUCAGAAUGUCACGGUGAAUACGUUCCCGGGUCUUGUACACACCGCCCGUCACACCAUGGGAGCGGGUUCUGCCAGAAGUAGUUAGCUUAACCGCAAGGAGGGCGAUUACCACGGCAGGGUUCGUGACUGGGGUGAAGUCGUAACAAGGUAGCCGUAUCGGAAGGUGCGGCUGGAUCACCUCCUUU
rnacentral:rRNA from 1 species